rnacentral:rRNA from 1 species
UAACGCGUAUGCAACCUACCUUUAUCAGGGGGAUAGCCCGGAGAAAUCCGGAUUAAUACCGCAUAACAUCAUGUUAUAGCAUUAUAGUAUGAUCAAACAUUUAUGGGAUAAAGAUGGGCAUGCGUGUCAUUAGCUAGUUGGCGGGGUAACGGCCCACCAAGGCGACGAUGACUAGGGGAUCUGAGAGGAUGGCCCCCCACACUGGUACUGAGACACGGACCAGACUCCUACGGGAGGCAGCAGUAAGGAAUAUUGGUCAAUGGAGGCAACUCUGAACCAGCCAUGCCGCGUGCAGGAAGACUGCCCUAUGGGUUGUAAACUGCUUUUAUCCGGGAAUAAACCUACUUACGUGUAAGUAGCUGAAUGUACCGGAAGAAUAAGGAUCGGCUAACUCCGUGCCAGCAGCCGCGGUAAUACGGAGGAUCCAAGCGUUAUCCGGAUUUAUUGGGUUUAAAGGGUGCGUAGGCGGCCUGUUAAGUCAGGGGUGAAAGACGGUAGCUCAACUAUCGCAGUGCCCUUGAUACUGAUGGGCUUGAAUGGACUAGAGGUAGGCGGAAUGAGACAAGUAGCGGUGAAAUGCAUAGAUAUGUCUCAGAACACCGAUUGCGAAGGCAGCUUACUAUGGUCCUAUUGACGCUG